rnacentral:rRNA from 1 species
UGCCAGCAGCCGCGGUAAUACGUAGGGAGCGAGCGUUGUCCGGAAUUACUGGGUGUAAAGGGAGCGUAGGCGGGAAGGCAAGUUGAAUGUUAAAUCUAUGAGCUCAACUCAUAGCUGCGUUCAAAACUGCUUUUCUUGAGUGAAGUAGAGGUUGGCGGAAUUCCCAGUGUAGCGGUGAAAUGCGUAGAUAUUGGGAGGAACACCAGUGGCGAAGGCGGCCAACUGGGCUUUUACUGACGCUGAGGCUCGAAAGCGUGGGUAGCAAACAGGAUUAGAUA